GUGAGCCAGAGGGGCGCCGCGCGAGGCCUGCCGGGCUGGGGAUGGUUGGCGCCGCCCAGGCGCGGCCCCGCGGGUCCGGCUUGCCGCCGAACCUGGGGACUUCGGCCGACCCCGACCACGGAAGCUGCGGUUUGACUCCUGCAUGGGGACGACGCUCGCCUGACUUAACAAUCGUAUCUUUCAUCUGGGUAGUGGAUUAAUAAUAGCAGCCAACUAUCUUCACACUUACAAGUGUGAGAAACUGAGGCACAGAUAGCUUGAGUCCCUUGCCCGAGGUCACAUAGCUGGGAACUAGGAGAGUCAGGGUUCGGGCACCAGGCUGGGCUCACUGAACAGCGAACAGCCUAGCUGCCGCUGGCCUUUGGCUCACAGACUUUGCGCGAAGUGCCCCCAGAUCCUUCCCCACCACCCAGCCCCUCCACCGGGACCCCUGCCUACGCUCUUCCAGUUGCAUUUCCUACUAAACUUUGUACUGUCCCACACUGCCUCAGCCCUUACUCAUUGUUGUCUCAACUCCUCCACCCCACCCCCUCAACCCGGAUUCGGUCUGGAGUCCCUUAACUUGGCCGCACGUCACUGCCCUCCGGACCCAAACCCCUCCUACACGCCUAGCUUCUUAGGAAAAUAACACCGCAGCUGAUCCGCAGCCUCCACCACGCCUUCGCCCCAAUCUAGUCUCAAUAGAGCCGACUUUUGUGAUCUUCCCAAAGUGCAAAUCAGCUGUGCCCCAGUCACUCCAUUGCUCUUAUUGCCUAGCUGGUCUCCCCCACAUUUCUCACCACUUCACCCCUCACUCUACAAUCCCAGGGCUCCCCUAUCUCUUUCCAUUUCCUCCAGCAAGCCGAACUAGUUCUGCUAGACUGCACAGCUGGUCUCUGAUUCCUCUGGGAAGACUGGACUUCUGAUCAGAGACUCUACAGGUGACACACAGUGGGAAGCAGGCAGUGUGAGAAACCAGCAUCUCAAGCACAAGAAGGAGCAAUAGGCACACUUGGCCUCGCCAUUGGAGGGCAGUAAGGACUGUAGGGACUGUGGCAAAUUGGAAAAAACAAGCCCAGCCCCAAAGAGCCUCUAGCUGAUUGCUGAUGCAGAGGAACAGGGAAUAUUCACACAGAUAGAGGCACCAGGGUGCUUUCGUGGAGACUUGUUGAUGGACCAUGGGAGGAUUUAGAACUGAACUUGCUGCAUACAACAGAAGUUCUACAAGGAUAGCUUUAAUAGCCUAUGGUCCAAAAGUCCCUGUGCACACCGGGCUGUGGGCGCCCUCUCGAAACACAAGCAGACAGCAAGGACCACUGGACAGACAGCAUGAGCACAGACUCCAAGCAAGCAACCAGAAAGAGGGGCUCCAAGGAGACAGAGGAAGAGGAAGAUGACACACAGCUGAUGCGGAUUGUCUUGGAAAUGGAAGUGCUCCAAAACAGGGAGACAGUAGAUGAUAUAAAAACUGAAAGCAGAGGUGCCUGGGUGGCUCAUAUGAUUGAGCGUCUGCCUUCGGCUCAGGUCAUGAUCUCAGGGUCCUGGGAUUGA